rnacentral:rRNA from 1 species
AACGAACGCUGGCGGCAGGCUUAACACAUGCAAGUCGAACGCCCCGCAAGGGGAGUGGCAGACGGGUGAGUAACGCGUGGGAACAUACCCUUUUCUACGGAAUAGCUCUGGGAAACUGGAAUUAAUACCGUAUACGCCCUACGGGGGAAAGAUUUAUCGGGGAAGGAUUGGCCCGCGUUGGAUUAGCUAGUUGGUGGGGUAAAGGCCUACCAAGGCGACGAUCCAUAGCUGGUCUGAGAGGAUGAUCAGCCACAUUGGGACUGAGACACGGCCCAAACUCCUACGGGAGGCAGCAGUGGGGAAUAUUGGACAAUGGGCGCAAGCCUGAUCCAGCCAUGCCGCGUGAGUGAUGAAGGCCUUAGGGUUGUAAAGCUCUUUCACCGAUGAAGAUAAUGACGGUAGUCGGAGAAGAAGCCCCGGCUAACUUCGUGCCAGCCGCCGCCGUAACAC